UACGAAGGGGACUAGCGUUGUUCGGAAUCACUGGGCGUAAAGCGCACGUAGGCGGAUUUGUAAGUCAGGGGUGAAAGCCCAGAGCUCAACUCUGGAAUUGCCUUUGAGACUGAGUGGCUUGAGUACGAGAGAGGUGAGUGGAAUUCCCAGUGUAGAGGUGAAAUUCGUAGAUAUUGGGAAGAACACCGGUGGCGAAGGCGGCUCACUGGCUCGUAACUGACGCUCAUGCACGCAGCGUGGGGAUCAAACAGG
rnacentral:rRNA from 1 species